rnacentral:rRNA from 1 species
GGGCGAGCUGAUCUAGCCAUGCCGCGUGAGUGAUGAAGGUCUUAGGAUCGUAAGCUCUCUUACUGCUAGGGAUGAUAAUGACAGUACCUAGUAAAGAAGCCCCGGCUAACUCCGUGCCAGCAGCCGCGGUAAUACGGAGGGGGCUAGCGUUGUUCGGAAUUACUGGGCGUAAAGCGUACGUAGGCGGAUCAGAAAGUAUGGGGUGAAAUCCCAGGGCUUAACCCUGGAACUGCCUCAUAAACUCCUGGUCUUGAGUUCGAGAGAGGUGAGUGGAAUUCCAAGUGUAGAGGUGAAAUUCGUAGAUAUUUGGAGGAACACCAGUGGCGAAGGCGGCUCACUGGCUCGAUACUGACGCUGAGGUACGAAAGUGUGGGGAGCAAACAGGAUUAGAUACCCUGGUAGUCCACACCGUAAACGAUGAAUGCCAGUCGUCGGGCAGUAUACUGUUCGGUGACACACCUAACGGAUUAAGCAUUCCGCCUGGGGAGUACGGUCGCAAGAUUAAAGCUCAAAGGAAUUGACGGGGGCCCGCAACUAGCAUGGAGCAUGUGGUUUAUUCGAR